UGAUUAGGAACGAUGUGCGCUGCUCCAUGACUCUGGGUCGACUGUCCUCUUUUAUGCUCUGCCAGCAUAAUUUAUGGGGGAUUCAUUUGCGGCCGAACAAUCGUGACCGAGAGUUCACGAGCGCUGCGUGGCCCGCCUCUCUCUCUUCCGACCUUCGUAGAUGCGAUCACCCAAAAAAAAUAUAACCUCUUUUCUGUUCGCUCUCUCUGCUCCUCGUAGCUCCGAAAUGUGUACUCUGUAUGCCCUGUGGGCCCUGAGAACCUCGUGUAUGCUCACUCCCGCAUGCCUCUCACUGGUAUAAGUGGGCAUUUUCCCGUACAGUGUGUAAACCGGAAACAAACAAAAGCUUGACCAAUGAUUUUCAAACUGUUCACGUGUGCUUUUGGGUGUACCAGUGUCCCCCACAGGGCUUCGCUACGC
rnacentral:lncRNA from 1 species